rfam:TPA: Bos taurus chromosome 14, whole genome shotgun sequence.
UCCUUGGUGGCUCAGAUGAUAAAAGCAUCUGCCUGCAAUGCGGGAGAUCCAGGUUCGAUCCCUGGGUCAGGAA